AGUGAACGCUGGCGGUAGGCCUAACACAUGCAAGUCGAACGGCAGCACAGUAAGAGCUUGCUCUUACGGGUGGCGAGUGGCGGACGGGUGAGGAAUACAUCGGAAUCUACUUUUUCGUGGGGGAUAACGUAGGGAAACUUACGCUAAUACCGCAUACGACCUACGGGUGAAAGCAGGGGAUCUUCGGACCUUGCGCGAUUGAAUGAGCCGAUGUCGGAUUAGCUAGUUGGCGGGGUAAAGGCCCACCAAGGCGACGAUCCGUAGCUGGUCUGAGAGGAUGAUCAGCCACACUGGCUCUGAGACACGGUCCAGACUUCUACGGGAGGCAGCAGUGGGGAAUAUUGGACGAUGGGCGCAAGCCUGAUCCAGCCAUACCGCGUGGGUGAAGAAGGCCUUCGGGUUGUAAAGCCCUUUUGUUGGGAAAGAAAAGCAGCAGGUUAAUCCCCCGCUGUUCUGACGGUACCCAAAGAAUAAGCACCGGCUAACUUCGUG
rnacentral:rRNA from 1 species